rnacentral:tRNA from 1 species
AAGGGAGACCUAAUUCAGGUAGGAGACGAAAAAAAAGUAGUCCCAACCAAGAAUCAAUCCCAAAAGGUCGGAGCGAAGCGAAAUUAGCUUUCAAACUAGGUUCUGGGUUCACACAAGACCUGAAUCAGGAACAAGGGCUAUUAGCUCAGGUGGUAAGAGCGCACCCCUGAUAAGGGUGAGGUCCCUGGUUCGAGUCCAGGAUGGCCCACCUGCACAGGUGGCAAAAACAAGAGAAGCGAGGAAUCAGCACCUUAUCUUAUCUAUAUAUAUAUAGGAGAGAAUGCUGGCUGUGAGUAAAGAGUCCAGAGGAACCUUGAAAACUGCAUAGAGCUAGGUGAAAAAGCCAAAAAAGAAGACCGCAA